AUAAACAAAGAACCUUUUUUUUCUACACCUACGACUUUCAUCUUCUCGCCCUACAACUUCUCUCCUGAAACCUUUUUUAAUGCAACUGAAACCAAGCCGAAGGGAUUUCUAGAAAGGACCGGCCACCGUUUCUUUCAAACUACACGAAAGCAGAUCCCAACAGAAAUCAUUGCUACCGGGAACAGGUUUCAACAGAAAUCACUGCUACCAGGGAACAGGUUUCAACAGAAAUCAAAGCUCUCAAUGAAGAAAUUGCAGGAGGUUUUGAUAAAAUUGCGCUAUAUACCCAAAUAAUAGCUGCCGGAGCUGUAAUCGGAGUUUUUUUUAGGGGAAUUGGAGAAACUUCCGUUCUUGUGUUUAGCAUCCAAAUUUAGCAUCCAAGAUUGAGGAUGGCACAAAUUUAGCAUCCAAAUUUGUUCUUGUGUCAUGCAAGUCACUGUUGAGGGUGGAUGCUGUUCCAAUUCCUACAGCUGUAAGUAUUACUGUUCUAUUGCGUAACUCUUUUCUUUUAUAAAAACAACUGAAGUUAUUCUCUUUGUUUUGCAUUCUGGUCUGUAAUGGCGGGUUGAGACAAUUUUUGUCAAAUUACAUAGUUCAGUUAAAGUUUGAGUUCCUAGGCUAAAUUUGGGAUUUUUAUGAAUUCACUUGCAGAUCUUUCCUUUGAUUAAUGUAUAAAGCUUUUGUAAAUCCAUAGUCCCCUUGAAGUCAUAAAAAUUGUAGGAAACCAAUGACUAAAUUUGAAUAAGAAAUGUAUUGCAUCUCAUGUUUAUUAUUCCACAAAGCUAAGAUGACAAAAACUUGUUAUACUGCCACAGAAAGAAUUUCCUGCUUGCAUUAAGCUGAACAUGCCACAGAAACUUGUUAUACUUGUUCCUUCUUGUUCUUGUGUUUUUCAUGGUUUAUAGGCUGUUAUGGAUGAGGCUGGCUUCAACAAGCGGCACCCUUGAUAGAUUUUAAUUGGCUAUUUGAAGACUGAGUCUGGAUGUCUAGAAACUGGUAUCACCCGUUUGGAUAUUCUGAUGCUGAAUGAAAACGGGAGUCAUUCCUCUAUCCGGUUGAAAUAUGGUUGCACCCCCACCGUUUAUCUAGUUUCUCGAAAUAGUGUAAUAAUCUAUUCAAGGGACAAUUCAUCCAAGGAGAAAUGUCUACUUUAACAGAAGUGGUUGUUGUUGUUGUAGAGUUCCUGAAGGUGGAGAAGUUGAUGAAGCAUAUCCGAAACUGCAGUUUGCAACCAUGUCCAGUUACAGUUGUUCUACUUCCAAGAGAUGGAUUUCUCAUCUUCAAAUGUGUAGAGACCAGUUUGUGUUCCUACCCUCGUCGCUGGACCUCACAGGCAGGUGGUCGCGCUCCGUCUGACAGUAGUGCUUUGAAAUUAGCGAGUGGAUCUUGGAACCCAUUCAUGCUGGAAAUGGUGCUACAUUGACGACAGUAAAGGCUAGUUCAUGAACUGUGGAAGCUUCACCCGAGUUAUAAUCUUCAUUGAAACACCCGAAGGUGGACCACCCAUCUUCUCAUGUGAAUGCAACUUUAGGUAAGCAACUGAAUAACUGGGAACCAUUGGGUUCAGGAGCAGAGUGACUAAUUGGAAGCAGAAAUGUCUUUCGGAGCUGUAAAGUCGUUGGCAUGGACUUAAGUAGGGGAAGCAGAAAGGUGAACUCAUCGCUGCAGAUACUCCAAAAUGACCAAAGUGCUGUAUGAUGUUAACACUCAGAAAACAAGUGAAUUCACUCCAACCUUGGUGUAGAAUAUGGUUCCAGUAAUAAGUCAGAUUAGGAAGGGUGUUGCCAGGUGGUCGCCUGUUUUGCUUGUUUCGAAGCCCCUGAAGGAAGUUAGGUAGGUUUCAGCAUAUAACGAACGUCUUAGAUUUCAUUGUUUUUGCUUGAAACUGUAUAUCUUUCGGUAAGGAAACUGAGAAGAAAUUGGUUCUUGUGAGCGUUGUUUUUAAUCUCUAUUUGGUUGAUGUUGGAAGUUUUCUAUCUUGUAUAUAUGUAGGUGGACUCGUUGUUGUAGAUAGUCAA